GACUGAGAGAGACAGAGAGAGUGAGUGAGAGAGAGAGAGAGAGAGAGGCCCAGAAGAGGAGCCAGGGCAGAGGGCCGAGGGGAAGGAGUGGUGGCCUCGGAGGCCGUGACCUUCUCAGGCCCCGCUGGGCGGCCUGGCUUGCUGUUUGGGGCUGGCUAAUGAUUAGCAGGGAAAAUGUCACUCUGGGGCAUGCACACCUUCCGGGAGCGAGGGGCCAGUGGCAGGCAGGGGCCACCUCUGUGUUUACAGCCCGGCCUGUGACGUGACAGGGCCAUUUCAAGAGGAACUUCCUGCUAACCGGCAACCCGGGUGGAGAUUCUCGGCGGCCACACAGGUUUGUUCCUGCGUUUGCGUGGAGGGAGGACGGAGGCCCAGAUGCCUCUGGGAUCAGAGAACCUUCUGUGACACCGGAAGAGGAGAACUUCCUGCCCGAGGGUGAAGAAGACGCGUGGUGAUGGAGGGCAGGUGGAAAGGCAUCUCGACCGUGCUGGUCAUCCUGGCUGGGCUGGCAGCUUCUGGAUCCAGCUAUCAAAUCUUAGAAGGUCCCAAGAACGCAACAGUGCUGGAGGGCUCAGAGGCUCGCUUCAACUGCACGGUCUCACAGGGCUGGAGGCUCAUCAUGUGGGCUCUGAACGGCACGGUGGUUCUGAGCAUCACGCCCUCAGAGCCCAUCAUCACCAACGACCGCUUUACCUCUGCGAGCUACGAAGAGGGCGGCAACUCCAUCUCUGAGAUGAUAAUCCAUGACGUGCAGCUCCGUGACGCGGGGCACAUCAAGUGCAGCCUCCAGAACAGCGACCGCGAUGCAUCCGCUUUCCUUUCAGUGCAAGUUAUGGGGGCGUUGCUCAUUCCCGGAGGCAACCUUGUAGUCGCGGAGGAUGAACCUUGUAAUGUGACUUGCCACGCAUGGGGCUGGAUCCCGCCCCCAGGUAUUUCCUGGGAUAUCGGCGUUCCCGUGAGCCACUCCAGCUAUCAUUCCGUUCCGGAGCCCAACAGUCCCCAAAGUGCAGUGAGCGUCCUGACUCUCACACCACAGGGCAACGGGACUUUGACUUGUGUGGCCACCAUGAAAGGGCUGCAUGCCCACAAGUCUGUAACUGUGAAUCUUACUGUGGUUCAGCCUCCUUUGGGCAGUAUUGAUAAAGCAGGUACAUCAUUGCCUACCUGGGCCAUAAUUCUGCUUGCAGUAUCAUUUUCAUUGCUUUUGAUCCUGAUCAUUGUUCUGAUUAUAAUAAUCUGCUGCUGUUGUGUCUCCGGGAGAGAGAUAAAAGAAUCUAGUUAUCAAAGUGAAAUAAGGAAAUCUGCAAGUGUGAAGACAAACAAAGAAACUUUUGAGACAAACCUAGGAAGUGGCAGUGAAAACCUGGGCUACCAUUCAGAUGAGCCACGGAUAGCAAAACUUGCUUCUUUUGCUCCAGUGUCCUCUGAAUCCAGUGUUCAGGAACAACACAGCAGUAGGCAACCUUAUCAGUGUGUUUCUGUUGUCCGUCAUCAUCCUUGAGUGGGUACAAGUCAAGGGGAAAGACAAGAGUUUCAGAAGACCUUUUGGACAGAGCUGUUCAAAUCUCUAGGCUGUCAAGGUCCGUGGACUCACGCACCUUAGUGGCCAAUUUCCACUCAUUGGCUCACCUGGUGUCACAAGUCAAGGGGGCAUGGCACCCACCUGCUGCAGAAAGACCUACCAGUAAGGUACCGGGUUUUCCAUGAACGCAAUUGCCGUGGAAAUUGAGGGCAGAUGGCAGAAGAUUCUAUGGGAAGCUUCACGGAGGAUGAUUUGCCAUUUUGGAAAAUGGUGUCGGCAACAGCACCACCGUUUGGAGUAUCUGAGUUGCUGUCAUGAGACACAUGAGUCGCUGGAGAGUUACAGCUGCUGCAUUCCUGAGAGGCCUUCCUUGCCUGAUUGGGAAACUGAGGCUCAGAGAGGUCCAGUAACUUGCGUGAGGCUGCUGUGCUGCGAUGUCUUGCCCCAGUGACUUCACCGCUCUGCAGGACAGGAAAAACUGAGGUGUUGGCCAUGAUGCAAACAUCCCGAUGUUGCUGUUGUCGAGCCAACACUUUCGACCUCUUGGUGAAUUUUUCCAUGGUAUUUUCAAGCACACAAAUUUUGGAGUCGGACUGCUUAUUUCUAAAGGUAAGGCUUCACAGUUACUAACUUUGGGAUUCUGGGGAAAUUACUAACUUCUCUGAACUGCAUGUUCUUUGAAAAAAAAUGAGGUUAAUAAAAUUGCCUCUCUUAUUCAGUUUGGCGGGAACUAAGUGUAAUAAGUCACCUGCAUCAGGGGCUACACAGGUGGGGUCAUCAGGAGGCAGGAACCACACUGGUUUUCACCCAGACAAGCGUUUGUAUAACAGUUGAUAAUGAGGCAUACAGUUGCUGAAUGGCUGACCAAAGAGACAAAAAGAGAAUUCUAGAGGUGUCAUAGAGGUGUCCCUUGAAGGCAGCUAUCAACCUGGGGGCUGGUGAACAAAGGGAAGAAUCUGGGAUUAUUAUAAUUUAGAAGCUUAGGGGAAGGACCUCAGGGAGUUGAAGUUCAGACCUCUGUCAAGCAGGUGUCGUUCUGCUGGUGCAGUGUCUCUGUGGGGAGUGUAGGGAGACUGAUUCUGCAGAUGUGGGGAAAACCACUAACUAGAUCAAGUCUGGAGGAAUUGCCCGUCUUGAGGUGAAGAAGCACGGCCACCAAUGGGAACAGGGAUCAAACAGAAGGAGCAAGAAGGGAACAGGAAGGAACACACCUGUCCUUCCACCUCCAGGCUUGCAGAAUCCUGACCAUCCAUGCUCUCUCUUGGUGGAUUCUGGAAGGGAAUGGCUGGCCAACUUGAAAUGUGGUUUGCAGAAUCCCAGAUAUAGAAUCGUAGAAUGGGGCGUGAGUCAUGAUCUGAAGGUUCGUGAGUUCAAGCCUUGCGUUGGGCUCUGCACUGAAAGAGAAGAGAGUAUGAAAGAGAGUCUACAAUUCCAUCUCUGCAGUUGUGUCUAUGAAAUGAGCAAUAGUAUUUUCCUGCCUUUUUUGCAUGCCUGGUCAUUUUUGGAUCCUCGACAUUACGAAUGUCAUAUUGUGGGGUGCUAAUUUUACUGUAGUCCUUUAAAGAGUGAUGGAUUGUUUUCCUGGCAUGUAAUUAAGUGAACUGUGGGUCACUUUGAGUCUUUUGAGGCUUGGUGUUAAGCUCUGUUGUGGCGAGCCAAGAACAGCCUUUAUUCAGGAACUAAUUUAACCCUACUUCUAAGGCAAGGCCUGUGUAUUUCAAGGUCAUUCCAUUUUGGCUGGUGGGAACAGGAAUGAUUUCCAGUUCUGUGGCACCUCCAGGAAUUGUCCAGGGGCUCUUUCCCCAGCAUUGGGAAGUUUCCUCCACUUUGGUUUCAGAGGGUAUUUUUUGCAAAGAUCAGUAUUCAGUCCAAGGCACCAGGGAACCUUCUGCAGCUCUCUCACUACAGCAACCUCUUCUCUGCCAUCCAGUCUUGCAAACCUUGGUCUCCCUGGCGCCCCCUGGUGAAAGCAAUGCCCUCAUUGUGUUUUUCAGACUUCCAUGGUAUACACUCUCUAGCCCUCUAUCAAACCUUGGCUGACAUGAAAUGCAACACUGUCCAAGGUGAUGUUAUGCAAUAUUCUGUAUCGGUGGAUUAAAUGCUCUUUAAACCUCCAGUGGUGUUAGAAUUGGAUAGAUAGAGGCCUGUGGGCAACAAAGGAAAUACACCAGAAUAUAUGCCCAUUCCAGUUAAGGUGAAUUACUGUCUCUUCCAGGGUAGGGGUCUAAAGAUGUCAGCUUGCAACCAAAGGGUUGGCUGAUCUCCUUGAGGGAUGGUGUCAUAUCAGGGGCUCACACCUUCUAAUCUUUUAUUUUUUUUU